AGAUCUGUAAGCUCAAAACGGCAGAGCGCUGAAUCCUUUUGACGGGGGUUGAGAGGUUGGUGGUUCGAAUCCAUCCAGAUCUG
rfam:Gossypium raimondii Chr07_contig_47, whole genome shotgun sequence.